UGCCCACACUUCCUGUUCCAGGAUCAGAUA
rnacentral:piRNA from 1 species